CCUGGUGGCUCAGAGGUUAAAGCAUCAGCCUGGAAUGCAGGAGGCCCAGGUUCUAUUCCUGGGUCAGGA
rnacentral:tRNA from 1 species